GCCGUGGGCGGCGCUACCAUGCAGUCGAACGGUAACAGGAAGCAGCUUGCUGCUUUUGCUGACGAGUGGCGGACGGGUGAGUAAUGUCUGGGAAACUGCCUGAUGGAGGGGGAUAACUACUGGAAACGGUAGCUAAUACCGCAUAACGUCGCAAGACCAAAGAGGGGGACCUUCGGGCCUCUUGCCAUCGGAUGUGCCCAGAUGGGAUUAGCUAGUAGGUGGGGUAACGGCUCACCUAGGCGACGAUCCCUAGCUGGUCUGAGAGGAUGACCAGCCACACUGGAACUGAGACACGGUCCAGACUCCUACGGGAGGCAGCAGUGGGGAAUAUUGCACAAUGGGCGCAAGCCUGAUGCAGCCAUGCCGCGUGUAUGAAGAAGGCCUUCGGGUUGUAAAGUACUUUCAGCGGGGAGGAAGGGAGUAAAGUUAAUACCUUUGCUCAUUGACGUUACCCGCAGAAGAAGCACCGGCUAACUCCGUGCCAGCAGCCGCGGUAAUACGGAGGGUGCAAGCGUUAAUCGGAAUUACUGGGCGUAAAGCGCACGCAGGCGGUUUGUUAAGUCAGAUGUGAAAUCCCCGGGCUCAACCUGGGAACUGCAU
rnacentral:rRNA from 1 species